AAAAAGGUAAGCUAAGUACAAGCUACUGGGUUCAUACCCCAAGAAUAGACACAAUCUCCUUUUUA
rnacentral:tRNA from 1 species